rnacentral:lncRNA from 1 species
UUUUUUUCUGAAAGAUUUUAUGUUGGUUUUUUUUUGGGGGGGGGGCGCACAGGGAUCAUGCCCAUGGCAUGUGCAAAUUCCCAGGUCAGGAAUCAAACCCAUGCCACGGCAGUGACCUAAGCCAUUGCAGUGACAAUGUCAGACCCUUAACACACUGUACCACAAAGGAACUCCCUUUUAGUUAAGUUUUAAAAUCAUCUCAGCUUGAUUAUUUAUUUAUUUAUUUAUUUAUUUAUUUAUUUUGUGUUUUUGCCAUUUCUUGGGCCACUCCCGCGGCAUAUGGAGGUUUCCAGGCUAGGGGUCUAAUUGGAGCUGUAGCUGCCAGCCUACGCCAGAGCCACUGCAAAGCGGGAUCCGAGCCGCGUCUGCAACCUACACCACAGCUCACGGCAACGCCGGAUCGUUAACCCACUGAACAAGGCCAGGGAUCGAACCCUCAACCUCAUGGUUCCUAGUCGGAUUCGUUAACCACUGUGCCAUGAGGAGAACUCCUGAUUAUUUUUUAAAUUGAAGAAUCAUAUAUCAGAAUUAGCUAUUUUUAUUUUUAUUUAUUUAUUUUCUUUUUAGGGCUGCAUCUGUGGCAUAUGGAAGUUCCCAGGCUACAGGUCGAAUUGGAGCUGCAGCUCUUGGCUUACACCACAGGCAUAGCAAUGCUGGAUCUGAGCCAUGUCUGUGACCUACACCACAGCUCAUGGCAACGCCUGAUCCUUAACCCACUUAGCAACGCAAGGGAUUGAGCCUGCAUCCACAUGGAAACUAGUUGGGUCCUUAACCCACUGAGCCACAAUGGGAACACCACAUAAUUAGCUAUUUUAAAUCAUACCUUUUAGUGGCAUUUAAUACAUUCAUAAUGUUGUACAACCAUCACCUUUGUGUAGUUUCAAAACAUUUCCAUCACCUCAAAAGGAUACCCUGUACCCAUUAAGCAAUCAAUUCUCAUUCUCCCCCUUCCCCAGACCCUGGUAACCAUUAAUCCACUUUUUUUUUUUUUUUUUUUUUGCCUUUUCUAGGGCCGCUCCUGUGGCAUAUGGAGGUUCCCAGGCUAGGGGUCGAAUUGGAGCUGUAGCCACCGGCCUACGCCAGAGCCAUAGCAACGUGGGAUCCGAGCUGCGUCUGCGACCUACACCACAGCUCAUGGCAACACUGGAUCCUUCACCCACUGAGCAAGGCCAUGGAUCGAACCCGCAACUUCAUGGUUCCUAGUUGGAUUCGUUAACCACUGUGCCGUGACGGGAACUCCCAUUAAUCCACUUUUUGUUUUUGGAUUUGUCUGCUCUGGACAUUUCAUGUGAAAGAAUCAUCUAUAUAUUGCCUUUUGUGUCUCCCUUCUCUAACUGAACAUAAUAUUUUCAAAAUUCAACCAUUUCGUAGCAGGUGUUAGUAUUUUUUUUGUUGUUGUUGUUGUUCUUUUUGGCUGCACCCAUGGCAUAUGGAAGUUCCCAGCCCAGGGAUUGAGUUCAAGCGGUAGCAACACUGAAUCCUUUAACCUACUCUACCCAAGCCUCUGUAGUCAGAUUCUUAACCCACUGCACCACAGUGGGAACUCCUAUGUGUCAGUAUUUUAUUUUUCUUUUUAUGACUGAAUAUGUCACUUAUAAAGAUAGCGUACAUUUUGUUUAUGCAUUCUUCAGUUAAUGGACAUUUGGAUUUUUUUCCCCUUUUUGACUGUUGUGAAUAGCGCUGCUGUGAAAGUUUUUGUGUAGCCAUGUUUCAAAUCUCUUGAGUAUAUUCUAGGUGUGGAAUUGAUGGGAGAUGUAGUAAUUCCAUGUUUAAUCAUCUUGAAUUUUUUGUAUGACAUUGUUUUAGUUUCCUAGGGCUGCUGUAAUAAAUGACCACUAAUUGGGUAGCUUUAAACAGGAGAAACAUAUUUUCCCACAGAAGGACAAAAUCAAAGUGUCUGCAGGCCAAGCUCCCUCCAGAAGCCCUAGGGGAAGAUUCUUCCUGCCUCCUCUGUUUGCCUAGAGCCCCAGGAAGUCCUAACUUGUGGCUGAAUCUCUCCAUUCUCUGCCUUCAUCUUCACAUGGGCUUCUUCCUUUGCAUGUCAUCUUCUCUCUGUGUACAUCAUCUUCUCUCUGUGCACAUCUGCAUAUGUGUCUACAUUUCCCCUUAUAAGGACACCAGUUAUUGGAUGGAGGCCUAUUCUAACGACCUCAUCUUAACCUGAUUGCAUCUGCAAAGACUCUCCCUCAAAUUAAGGUCCCACGUUGGAGUUCCUGUUGUGGCUCCAUGGUUAACGAACCCGACUAGUAUCCAUGAGGACUUGGGUUGGAUCCCUGGCCUUGCUCAGUGGGUUAAGGAUCCUGCAUUGCUGUGGCUGUGGUGUAGGGUGGCAGCUACAGCUCUGAUUUGACUCCUAGCCUGGGAACCUCCAUGUGCCACAGGUGCAGCCCUAAAAAGACAAAAAUAAAUAAAUAAAUAAAUAAAUAAAUAAGGUCCUCUGCACAGAUGCUGGGAGUGAGGACUUCAACAUGUCUUUUUCUGGAGAUUCCAUUCAUCUCAUGACAGGUGCAGAGUAGUGAUCUGGUUUUCAUUUUUUCAGAGGAAAGCUGUUUGUCUAGAAAAUUCUUCAUACUCCUCUGUAGGAACAUCUCAGUGUCUGAAUGUGUGCAGGCCAGUUUCCAAGCCCUCUAUUCUUCUCUUCUAUUCCUGGGCUGCUCUUUUCAUUACUGCAGCUUCUUAAGUGAGUUCAGUACAUAUAAGAGUCAGUGGCCAGAAAAAUAUAGUCUCUUUCUUGCUUGGAUAGCUUUCUAUGUCCUUGUGACUUUUUACAAGUGCUAACCCUGGCUCUAGCCAUUGAAGAUCCAGCAUUGGCCACCUAGAGGCCCUGGGGUAGCUCUGUUGUGUGUCCUACAAAGGAUUUUGUCCAGAGCAUCUUCAGCACAGCCCUGGGACAAGAUGCCAAGGACAGAAUGUUGCAUGAACCAAUGCCCAGGAGAAAAGGAGCUGGGGCUUGAAGCUGUUCAGAAAGGCCAAAGAUGCAGGGGUUGAGCUGAAGCAACUGAGUUACUUUAGCAAAGCCAUAGCCAUGAGAAGGGCCAGUUUCUAACCAUGGUAAAAGAGCAAGAUCUCCAAGUUAAAUCACCUGGUUAAUUGUGGCCCUUAAAUUCUACUCUAGGAAUUUGUACAGCCCUAAUAUUAGCAUUUCCAGGGAGGGAAGGCAGCUGUUGGAGGCAGGAGGUAGUUCCAUGUUCCAUGGUGACUCCCAGGCCCCAUGGGCUCUAAUUAUAAACCAUGAGAAGGGGAGGGAGGGCUCACGACUGUACUGACACCAGUACAAAGGCACCCAGAAGUUCAUUUUCCUUGGACACGUCAAAAAGAUUUGCCUCAAGCCUUUUCAAAGGUUUGGCAAAUACUUUUGGGCAAAAACAAAACAAAACAAAACAAAACAAAAACAAAACCAAACUGCCAUUUUUCAUAUGCAUUCCCUGACAUUUAUUUUGGUGGAUGCAGGAUAUAUUAUUAAAAUUCUUGUGUUUACUUUAGUUGUUUAAAUUCUUAUAUCAUUGUUGCUUCCUGAAAUAUUCUAUCAAAUUACAGGAUCAUUUUAGGAUUUUCACCUGAGUUAGUCAUCACACUUGAAUACAUCUUGAACAGUUGAGAAGACCUCAAGGACUGAUUAGAGAAUUUCUAGAAUUUAACCAAUAGCUUUUCAGUCCCAAAUAGCAGGUGGUUUAAAGCAUUGCCCAAAUUUUAAAUUAGUUUUAAUGAUAGUUAUUAAUUUGAAUAAUAGUAAUACAAUUUCAAACAUGUUGAAUUUAUUUCAGUUUUCUGGGAUUUAGCAUUUUUCAAGAUGCUGUUUUGUUUGAUAUGCUGUUUUGGUGGCAGAAGAUGGGGUGCAGCCUCCACUCAGAUGGUAGGUACUACAUAGAGGAAAGGUGCCCCCAAACUCUUGGCCAUACUCAACAGGAGUGUAACUGCCUCAGCUUGGAGUUGGAGGGGAUGAGAAAUGGUGACCUGCUGCUUUGGUAAGAUGCCAAACCGCUUGACUGGGAGCUGAAGGAUGAGGGAGCCCCAUCCCUUGGCCAUACCCAUCUCAGGUGGAAUUCUGUCAAGUAAAACUGGGGGGCAGUUGGCUAAAUCAUCUCAGAUUCUUACCAUUAUUACCGAGUUUUAGUAGAUUUUCUUGAAUCAAUAUCUCUUCAUUUGCUAUGUGCACUGAGGACAAUUUCUAGAGAUUAUAAAAUGUUUGUAUUAUUAGUGUUCACUAGGAGUAGAGUGGGUCUGCAGAGCUCCUCAUGGUGCUGUCCCAGAAGUGGACCCAUUCAACCUUGUUUCUGAACUAAGGCUGAUGCCCUCUCAAAACUGAAGGUGAUAGAGGGGCCAUAAUAUUAACCCUGCUGCCUAAUAAUUGGAUUGUGUUUGCAUUGAUGUGAAUAGCAUAAAAUAAGAAAUGAGAGAAGACAAGGGAGCCUUCUCUCUAUGAAGCGCCACAAGGUUUGGAGACUUGUUCUAGAGAAACACCAGCCUCAUUCCAACAUCUGUUGGACAUUUGACACAGCUGUGGAUGCCAGAGCACCUUCCAGCAUUAUUUGCAGAAAUAUGUGAUGGUUCUUUAGUCUUGGUUACAAAAUCUUUUUUUUUUUUUUUUAAUUUUAUGGCCACACCCAAGACAUAGGGAAGUUCCCCGGGCCAGGGAUUGAGUCCAAGCUGCAUCUACCAACAGCGCAACAGCUGCCACAAUGCAGGAUCCUUUAACCCACUGUGUGGAGCUGGGAAUUGAACCUGCACCUUCACAGGGACCUGAGCCACUGCAGUCAGCUUCUUUUUUUUUUUUUUUUUGAGUUUUAUUGAAGUAUAGUUGAUUUACAAGGUUGUGAUAAUUUUUGCUCUACAACAGAGUGAUUCAGUUAUACAUAUAUACAUAGCAUUCUCAGAUUCUUUUCCCACACAGAUUAUCACAGAAUAUUGAGUAAAGUUCUCUGUGCUAUAGCAGGUCUCCAUUAACCUAUCAUUCCAUAUACCAAUCCCCAUAAUAGUUUAUUAAGUUAAUUAAUUAGUUUAUUUAUGGCCUCACCUGAGGCAUGUGUAAGUUCCUGGGCUAGGGAUCGAACCCGUGGCAAAGCAAUGACCCAAGCUGAGUCCUUAACCUGCUGAGCCACAGAGGAACUCCAUGCAGUUGGAUUAACCUGCUGCUCCAUGGCGGGAACUCUUUGGUUACAAAAUCUUUUAAAGGGCGUAGAAUAAUUCUUCCAGAGAAACUAGAGCCCAGGGGCAGUUGGAACCUUUUUGUGCCAGGUAAUUUCUGCAGGUGACUAAUAUUUUGC